rnacentral:rRNA from 1 species
AUGGAGACCGGGGAGGCGGCGGUGCCGCCCAGGGCGACCAGAGGGCGGAGGUACAAGGCGCUCACGCCGUGGCGCUUCCAGCGCGGCUUCGUCAGGAAGCAGGCCAAGACCCCCGCCGCCGCGCCCAGAGGCCGUGGCGGUGCGCCGGUGGGCGGUUCUGGCGCCAAGCGUUCCAGAUCGGCGUCGGUGGUGGGGAGCGGCGGCCGUAGCGCGGGAGAUCCGACGGACGGCCAGUCGAACAAGAGAAGCACGCGCAGUGCGACCAUGAAGAGGCCCGAUGGGGAGAACAGCGCUCGCAGCGCCGGUGCUGGAAAGGAUAGCCAGUUGAGGAGAAGCACGCGCAGUGCGACCAUGAAGAACUCCGGUGCUGAAAUGGAUUGCCUGUUGAGAAGAGGCACACGCAGUGCGACUGCCAAGAACUCCGAUGGGGUUAAAGUGGAGAACAGCGCCUGCAGCGGUGCCGGAAAGGAUUUCCCGUUGAAGAGACACACACGCAGUACGGCUGUGAACAGCUCCCAUGCUAUUAAAAUGGAGAACGACUCUCCUAGCAGUGCUGGAAAGGAUUCCCAAAUAAAGAGAGGCACACACAGAGUGACCACGAGGAGCUCCAAUGGGGAGAAAAUGGAUAACAAUGCUCGCACCGGUGCCGAAAUGGAUAGUGGUUUGGGCAAGUCCAGCUGCAAUAUUAUGGGUGAUGGGUUGGCCAACGCUGCUGGAGGAGAUUGCUGUUUUGAGAGGCCAGACUACAGCGGUGUCCUGAGAGAUGAACAUGUCCAGAAUUUUCGGACUGGUGGCAGCGUUGGUGCUGGUGAUGGGGCAGCUUGCAUCCCAGAGGGGAUUCAGAGUAAUGUAGGAGCUGAGAACUGUGAGUCUGAGGGUUCGAAGAAGUCCCGUGUGACUGGGAAUAGGUUAAAGAGCAACGUUUCUUCUGCUGCAGAUCAUGUGCUGGAGCAGCCGGAGGGAAAAGGUGCUAACACGGGAAAUGGGGCUUCCAAGGAGAGUGAUGUAGCAGCCAAAGGGUGCAGCUCUGCAGUUCCUGGAAGCAAUGCUAAUGACCCAAAUUGCCGCAGAGGGCGGAAAGCAAUAGUGCCAUGGAGGUUCCAGAUCGGGUACAAGCGGUCAUUCUCGAAAGCUUUCUGCUCUAAUGGUGGAUCACUUGAAACUCCGGAAUACAGGGCUCAGGGCAGCUCAACACAGUGCACUCCAGGAACUAGAAGUACUGUGAGGUGCUAUGCUAGCCCCCUUUCAAAUGUUCGAGUUUCGGCCGUGCGUGAUUUCUCCUCAGGGAAAGGCGAGAAGGAAACCCGAACAGCAUAUAAAAAGGUGAAAACUGAGAAGGAUGAUGAUAAUCAGGGAAUGCCAAAAAAUGGAGUUGCCCUUGCUAGGGAGAAAGCCAUCAGAUCCUUGCAGGAUUUCCGCUUAAUUUACAAGAAUCUUUUGAAUAAACUUGAAGACAGGUCACGGGAAGGAGGAGCCGAUCUACAAGCUUACAAAAUCUUCAGGGACAGGUUCCUUGCACAGUGUAAUGACGAGAGAUUUGUUGGCAAUGUGCCUGGAAUCCAUGUUGGUGAUAUCUUUUAUGCAAGGGUUGAGCUUUGCAUUAUCGGUCUUCAUCGCCCACACCGGUUAGGGAUUGACCAUAUCAGGAAGGAGGAUGGUACUUGUAUAGCUGUUAGCAUCGUGGCAUAUGCACUUCUUUCUGAUGUCAAGGAUAAUUUUGAUGCCUUGGUGUAUUCUGGAUCAAGGACAGCUACAAUGAAUCAGAAGAUAGAGAGUACCAAUCUUGCACUGAAGAAGAGCAUGGAUACCAAAACACCAGUUCGUGUCAUCCAUGGUUUCACCAUUCAUGCUAAGAAGAACAGCCAGCGGAAGAGUAUUCUUGUAUAUGGGGGUUUAUAUCUAGUUGAGAAAUACUGGAGGGAGAAAGAAAGCGAAGAUCGUUAUGUUUAUAUGUUCCGAAUGAGAAGAAUGGCAGGUCAGAAACACAUUGACAUUGAAGCAAUUAUGAAAUCAGAACAGGCUGAGCCAUAUGAUGGUGUUAUAAUGAAAGAUAUAUCCCAAGGGUUGGAGAGGAUCCCGGUAUCUGUUUUGAACUCAAUAUCUGAUGAGCAUCCGAUGCCCUAUAUCUACAUGUCUCGCCUGAAAUACCCCCCUAACUAUCAGCCAGCUCCUCCAGCAGGCUGUGCUUGUGUAGGCGGGUGCUCGGACUCUAAACUGUGUGCCUGUGUAGUGAAAAAUGGUGGGGAGAUCCCUUUCAAUGAUAAAGGCUGUAUCAUAGCUGCAAAACCUCUUGUUUAUGAGUGUGGACCUUCUUGCAAGUGUCCUCCUACAUGUCAUAACAGAGUCGGCCAGAAAGGCAUCAAAUUUCGGCUGCAAGUGUUCAAGACCAAAUCGAUGGGUUGGGGCGUGAAGACUCUCGACUAUAUACCAUCUGGAAGUUUCGUCUGUGAAUACAUUGGGGAAGUGCUGGAUGAUGAAGAAGCACAGAAAAGGAUGACUGAUGAGUACCUAUUUGCUAUAGGGCAUAAUUAUUAUGAUGAAUCCCUUUGGGAGGGCCUAUCAAGAUCUAUACCCUCGCUUCAGAAUGGUCCGGGUAAAGAUGAAGAAGCUGGUUUUGCUGUUGAUGCAUCAAAGAUGGGGAACUUUGCAAAAUUUAUUAAUCAUAGCUGCACCCCCAACCUCUAUGCACAAAAUGUUCUCUAUGAUCAUGAUGACAAGAGUGCUCCUCAUAUCAUGUUCUUUGCCUGCGAAGAUAUUCCACCCGGUCAAGAGCUAGUAUACCACUACAACUAUGCCAUAGAUCAGGUUUAUGAUGAGAAUGGUAACAUCAAGAAGAAGAAAUGCCUUUGUGGCUCUGUGGAGUGUGAUGGCUGGUUGUAUUAG